CUCUACAGUGUUCACAAGCUAAAAACGUGAUUUUCGUACAAUCAGGGGCCAUAAUCCAUGAAGUUACAGUCCGAUACAUGCCAAUAUCGAAAGGAACCGAGAUCUUAGGAUGGAGGGUUUAAUCAACAACCACCUCCGCCCUCUUAUGCACAAACUUAUAUGACGUCACCGGUAACCGGGAACACCCAAUAUGCAACAGACCAAGUAAAUGUGCCCUUUCAUACAGCAGUUGGACCACAGUGGCACAGUGGAAAUUUAAUGGUAAUUCAAUGGUUUUCUGAAGAGUUUAGACACUCGACUUACGCAUUCCACAGAGAUGUGGAUUGUUCAGAAAACAAUUUCAGGUCUUAAUAGGGAUUGUUAUUUUCAUUGUAAUAACGGUGCUGAUGGCUACGUAUUAUUUUUGGAAAAGGCAACAGUUCAUGGCAAUCAUGGGUUAAUGGAACUUUGAUGAAGCAUAGAAUAGAUUCUACAAAUACCUAAAAAAAAAAUUUCCCUUACUUAUAUGAAUACAAGAAAUGUCCAAAAGAACUGCUGUCAAGGUGAUGGAUAUUUGGUUGAUAUGGAUUAUAAUAAAUACUUUUAAACAAUGCUUAAAAAGUGUUAGUAGCUGAACUGCGGCGGCAUACAGUGAUUGGGCAUACAUAUUUCAGUAAAUUGGUGUGUGUGUGGGGCGGGGGUGGGGCAGCGGGAAAGGCACUG